CAGAGGCACUUGGUUUCUGGCC
rnacentral:miRNA from 12 species